AGCAGCCGCGGUAAUUCCAGCUCCAAUAGCGUAUAUUAAAGUUGUUGCAGUUAAAAAGCUCGUAGUUGAAUUUCGGGGUUAGUAGGCUGGUCGUGCCACUGGUACGUACUGGUCUCACUGAUUCCUCCUUCCUGAUGAACCGUAAUGCCAUUAAUUUGGUGUUGCGGGGAGACUGGACUGUUACUUUGAAAAAAUUAGAGUGUUUAAAGCAAGCUAACGCUUGAAUACAUUAGCAUGGAAUAAUGAAAUAGGACGUUCGAUCCUAUUUUGUUGGUUUCUAGGAUUGACGUAAUGAUUAAUAGGGAUAGUUGGGGGCAUUAGUAUUCAAUUGUCAGAGGUGAAAUUCUUGGAUUUAUUGAAGACUAACUACUGCGAAAGCAUUUGUCAAGGAUGUUUUCAUUAAUCAAGAACGAAAGUUAGGGGAUCGAAGACGAUCAGAUACCGUCGUAGUCUUAACCAUAAACUAUGCCGACUAGGGAUCGGAUGAUGUUAAUUUUUAAUGACUCAUUCGGCGCCUUGA
rnacentral:rRNA from 1 species